rnacentral:rRNA from 1 species
CCUACGGGAGGCAGCAGUGAGGAAUAUUGGUCAAUGGUCGGGAGACUGAACCAGCCAAGCCGCGUGAGGGAGGAAGGUACAGAGUAUCGUAAACCUCUUUUGUCAGGGAACAAAGACUGGGACGCGUCCCCGGAUGAGUGUACCUGAAGAAAAAGCAUCGGCUACCUCCGUGCCAGCAGCCGCGGUAAUACGGAGGAUGCGAGCGUUAUCCGGAUUUCUUGGGUUUAAGGGGUGCGCAGGCGGUCUGUUAAGUCAGCGGUAAAAGCCCGGGGCUAAACCCCGGGCCGCCGUUGAAACUGGGAGUAUAGAGUUGGAGAGAAGUAUGCGGAAUGCGCGGUGUAGCGGUGAAAUGCAUAGAUAUCGCGCAGAACCCCGAUUGCGAAGGCAGCAUGCCGGCUCCACACUGACGCUGAGGCACGAAAGCGUGGGUAUCGAACAGGAUUAGAUACCCGAGUAGUC